GCAGGGAUAGGAAAGCGGCUAAAUCUGCCAGGCUUAGGACCUGGUCCCUUAGUGGGUUCGGAGGUUCGAAUCCUCCUCCCUGCA
rnacentral:tRNA from 1 species